UGUCUCGCUGCGGCCCGCGGGAAGGCGUGGCUAUGACAUCAGUCCCCGCCCAUCAGGCACAGGUGCAUUCUGGGAUUGCUUAGCCCGAUUGAUGCCAGAAACGUCAUAGAAAUAAUCCCGUGGGUGAAAUUCCGCCAAAAUCGGAUGAUGGGGAGAGAAAGUGAAGAGAAAACAUGCCACUCCGAGGAUACCAAUCUUCACGUUUUGUUUCAUGAGGAAAAUGACUAAAGGUUUCUUACAACAGAUGGACCCAAGGGCCUGGAUGACGGAAAACUCCAGAGAAGGGACCUUGACUUUCUCUCCAUUAACCUAAUCACACAAGAUGAAGAGCCUCACUUCAGGAUCUGUAUAGCAGAGGAGGACGUGUAAGCUGUAAGGCGUUAAGUUCUGCCAGGAGGAUGAGACGAGUGCGCAGGUGUCGACGCCCCCACCGCCCCCACCGCCUCCACUUCAACCUCCAUCGCUGGCCGGUCCUCGUCCCACGAGGAGGCUCUGCGAGGCGUCCCUGCUUUUGACGCCUUGCCACCACAAGGAUUGUGAGAACCACCACCUCCAGCCACCGUCACCAUUUGGUCCCCGUCCU